AACGAACGCUGGCGGCAGGCCUAACACAUGCAAGUCGAGCGAGGACUUCGGUCCUAGCGGCGGACGGGUGAGUAACGCGUGGGAACGUGCCCUUUGCUUCGGAAUAGCCCUGGGAAACUGGGAGUAAUACCGGAUGAGCCCUUCGGGGGAAAGAUUUAUCGGCGAAGGAUCGGCCCGCGUUGGAUUAGGUAGUUGGUGGGGUAAUGGCCUACCAAGCCGACGAUCCAUAGCUGGUUUGAGAGGAUGAUCAGCCACACUGGGACUGAGACACGGCCCAGACUCCUACGGGAGGCAGCAGUGGGGAAUCUUAGACAAUGGGGGAAAGCCUGAUCGAGCCAUGCCGCGUGAGCGAUGAAGGCCUUAGGGUUGUAAAGCUCUUUCAGCUGGGAAGAUAAUGACGGUACCAGCAGAAGAAGCCCCGGCUAACUCCGUG
rnacentral:rRNA from 1 species